CCGUACUUAGACGGAUAGUGAUAGUAAUUUUACUAUUUCUAAUUUUAAGUAUGAUGUUGUGUUUGCAUAUUGGUCUAGGAAACUAGGCUAGAGUGAAAAUCUUUGAUUUUUACUCGUUUCACUUCCUGUAUAUUCUUUAAACCCUUUUGGUUUUAUGCCCCUUACUUUGAGGGGCUUUUUUUA
rnacentral:other from 1 species